rnacentral:rRNA from 1 species
AGGGUUUGAUCAUGGCUCAGAACGUACGCUGGCGGCACGCCUAACACAUGCAAGUCGAACGAAGUAGCAAUACUUAGUGGCGAACGGGUGAGUAUAAUGUGGGUAUCUGCCUUUUGGUUUGGAAUAACACGGGGAAACUUGUGCUAAUACCGGAUAAGCCUUCACAGGGAAAGUUUUAUACGCCAAAAGAUGAGCCCGCACUUGAUUAGCUAGUUGGUGAGGUAAUAGCUCACCAAGGCAACGAUCAAUAGCUGUUCUUAGAGGAAGAUCAGCCACAUUGGGACUGAGACACGGCCCAAACCCCUACGGGAGGCAGCAGUGGGGAAUCUUGCACAAUGGGGGAAACCCUGAUGCAGCGAUGCCGCGUGAGUGAAGAAGGCCUUUGGGUUGUAAAGCUCUUUCGUCGGGGAAGAAAAUGACUGUACCCGAAUAGAGGUCCGGCU